CAGAGUGGUGGAAUCUCUCCGUAGCUGGCUCAGAGUGGUGGAAUCUCUCCGUAGCUGGCUCAGAGUGGUGGACUCUCAGAAUCUGUCUCAGAGUGGUGGAUUUUCUUUGUUUGGUGAAGAUGCUGGAUUUUCUCAUACACUAUGUGUUAUUCGCACUGUUACAGUUUGAAGGAUUGGAUGUUUCAUUAGCUUACAACGUGGAGGUUACACCCAAGAAUACGUUCAAUUCCACUCCUGGAGACCUCUUUGGUUACAGAGUGCGACAGUUUAAUUCAUCAAAAGGAGAGAGGAUCAUAGUGGGAGACCCAGGGUCAGGACAACUGCACCUAUGUGACAUCACCAGAGAAUCAUGUGAUGUCAUCAAGCCUCCAACCGAUUCUGCUCACUUUGGACUCACUUUGGAAGUCGAUCAACUUUCUAGAAAUUGCAUUGUGUGUGGGAUUGGGACUCCCCAUGACUGUGAUCGUGUGUUGUAUAUGAAUGGAGCGUGUUACAAACUCACCUCCAACCUGACUGUGUCUGCGCAGCUGCAACCAGGAUAUCGAGAUUGCCAGAAAGCUGAUGUGGACCUUUGCUUUCUGGUUGAUGGUUCCUCUGGGAUGGGCGAGAGAGAGUUUGCAGCUAUCCGGGAAUUCAUGAUCAGCACCAUGAGAAGCCAUAAUUCAAGCAAUAUCAACUUCGCUGCUGUACAGUUCUCAAAUAAAGCAGAGGUAGCGUUUACCUUCGCAAGAUUUCAAACGUCUCGAGAUCCUAAGAACCUGCUGGAUUCGUUAGAAAAAAAAGGUGGUCUGACGUCUGCGUACAGCGCUAUUCGUGUCGCUCUAGAGCAAGUGUUCAUUGAGAGCGCUGGCUCACGGCCAAAUGCCAAGAAGGUUAUCCUGAUGUUGACGGACGGAGAAGUUACGGACAGUGACCACGGCGUUAUAGAAAGUAGUGAAAGUAUAAAGCUGUCACGAUACAUUAUUGGGAUAGGCAAGAACUUCAACAAUGAAGAAUCCAAAAAAUAUUUACAUUUACUGGCCUCUAAACCAACUGAAAAUUACACAAGAGUUCUGGAUGAUGUUUCUAAACUGAAAGACGUCUUUUCUGAAAUUGAGCGGAAAAUUGUCUCAGUUGAGGGUGUAACGAGCAGUUCAAAUUUCCCCAGAGAGUUUUCAUCAGCCGGUCUUAGUGCAGAUAUGCUGCAGGGUACCCUGGUUCUGGGAGACCCCGGUAUCUAUGAAUGGUCUGGGGGGAUCCUGGAGACCUUCCAUGGUCAGGACACACUGAUAAACACCUCCAUGGGGCAGGAAAGGCACUUCUCGUACCUGGGUUACUCCGUGAGACUGAUUUACUCCCCAGAGGGACUGUUCUGUGUAUCAGGAGCACCGAGGUACAAUUACACUGGACAGGUGAUACUACUGAAAAAGAACAUGGCCACAACAGGAUGGGAAGAAAUAAAGAGACUGCAUGGAGAGCAGUUUGGCUCGUACUUUGGAGCAGAGAUUGCCGUUUCUGACUUUAAUAAUGAAAGCCCACCACAAUUGGUUCUGAUAUCUGCUCCUCACCAUGUGGAGAAGCGCUGGGGUGGUCAGGUCUCUGUGUGUCUGUUUAGAAAGGGAGAUCUCUCUUGCACUGCCACACUUCGUGGAGAGUCUGGACACCCAUUUGCACAGUUUGGAGCUGCAGUCACAUUCCUUAGCGACCUUGAUGGAGAUGGCAUUCAAGAGGUGGCUGUGGGAGCUCCAUAUGAGAUGGAUGGGACUGGAGCUCUAUAUAUAUUUAAAGGAGAGGAAACAGGGGUGCAAACAAUGUACAGCCAGCGUCUGUUGGGAACACGGCCGAUGCAGAGUUUUGGUCUCUCUGUGCAUGGUGUCCUGGAUAUGACCAGUGACGGCCUGACAGAUCUUGUUGUGGGAUCCUUAGGUCAAGUUGGAAUGCACAGGUCUUAUCCUGUAAUACAUGUCACUGCAAACAUGACAUUCAAGCCACCAGAAAUUCCCAUCCCGAAAUUUGAGGUAUCCAGCUGUGAAAGUGCACUGUUAGCACAAACAUGUGUGCACUCCAGAAUUCUGACACGUUCAUAUACAGGGUCACUGGAUCUCGUUCUCCAUUUCUUGAUCGUGCUGGAUUCUGGACGCUCUGUAUCACGAAUCUCAUUUGAAAACCAACAGAGAGAGUUAAAUGAAACAUUUAGGGUCCAAAGAGAGGGGAAAGAAUGUCGUGAUAUCACCUUGUACCUCUCGGACUGCUCUCUGGAUGACCUUUCUCCCAUAGCAGUGUCUCUCAGUGUGCACAAAGAAGACUCUUUCUGGCUACUCUCUCCAUCCAGCAGUCUCACGGCCGUCUCCCAGAUCUUGUUUCAAAUUUGUGAAAACGGUGGAAUCUGUGGAUCCGAUCUCAGCGUUGCCUUUAAGAACACCUCUGAUCCACGUUUUCCAGUACCUACACUUGUGCUGCGCAGUAAAUCACCAUUUUCUGUGUCUCUGGAAUUAAAGAACAUGGGGGAAGUGGGUCACCAGAUCACCUUAGCGCUGACACACCCUCACGGACUGUCUUUUCACAAGGCUGCUAUUGAGUUUAUAAGGCGAGAGCCCCUGAUCUGCAGCGGGAGUGGACCACAACUGGUGCAAUGCAACGUGAGCAACAUAAAGCUGAGACAUGGGAGAAUGGCUGUGAUUCAUGUUAUGUUUGACGUUGUCCCAAAUGUCACCUGGCCUGACACAGUGAAUAUUAAAGCUGAAGUAAUGAGCAUCAAUGAGACAAACAGCACCCUGUCUGACAACACAAAGAUUCUGUCAGUUCCUGUGUUACAUCCAAUUAAUGUCAUCUCAAAAGGAUUGGACAAGUCCACCAAAUAUGUGAAUUUCAGUGACCCAGACCAGAGCCAUGUUGUGACCCACAUUUACCAGAUUAUGAACAUGGAGGUCGGGAGUAUCCCCAUUGAUGUAGUGGUUACUGUACUCACCCAGCAGACACAUGGCGAGGGACUGAAGUGGGACGUGAGCAGUGUCUCCAUGGACUCACGCACGAACUGUGAUACAAUGAAGCACAGCAUGAACCCUCAACAAAAGGAGUUCUUAUGUGCUGUACAAAGCCUGAAUGAGACCUUCAUACAUGUGAUAGGGGAACUGACACCCACUAAGGCCUGGCAGAAACCCGUGUCCAUCAUUGUGAAUAGCUCUGUGACAAUCCAGUACAAUAAAACGAGGUACUACAGUGACACGAAAGGAACGUUCUACUCCGCUCAGGUUUCUACACGAGUGGAGCUUCUAGUUGUGCCCAAUCACAUGCUGUACAUUAUUGGGAGCAGUGUGGGUGGGGGAGUCCUCCUGCUUUGUAUCUGCGUGAUUCUGUACAAGUGCGGUUUCUUUACACGGUACAAGGACCGGAUGUUAGAUGCCAAUAAUAAGGAGAGCCACAUCAGAAGUGAUGAUAAAACUCAGAUCACAGAAGUGAAUGAUCUCCAAACUCAAACUAUCCAGACAGACAGUGACUGAGACAGAUAAUCCUGUACACUAUCACACCAGGCCACAGAGUAACCUACAGCAAUACAAUAUUAUACACCAUCUCGCCAGGCCACGGAGUAACAUACAGUCAUACAAUAUUAUACACAAUCACGCCAGGCCAUGGAAUAACAUACAGCCAUACAAUAUUAUACACAAUCACGCCAGGCCACGGAGUAACAUACAGCCAUACAAUAUUAUACACAAUCACGCCAGGCCACGGAGUAACAUACAGCCACGGAAUAUUUGAUACUGUCACAGACAAUAAUAUGCUAUUGUACACAAUCAUAUACAAGCAUACACAAAGGUAGUGGGCAAUAUACAGAGAGCAAGCAAAAAUUUCAUAAGGAGCAACCUCACAGAGCUCCACACGAGUAACACACAUAGCAAAGUGCAGUGUGUAUCACAGAGCUCCACAGUAAUAAAACUCACAGUAAUGUGCGGUGUGUAUGAGUAUCACAG